CUUACCUUAUUUUUUUUUUAAUUUUUUUAAUAGUUACUUCCCAAAUACAACUUUUUUUUCUACUGUAUAGCAUGGUGACCCUGUUACACAUACAUGUAUACAUAAUUUUUUUCUCCCAUUGUUGUGCUCUGUGGUAAGUAUCUAGACAGUUCUCAGUGCUACACAGCAGGAUCUCAUUGCUAAGCCCUUCCAAAGGCAAUAGUUUGUAUCUAUUAACCCUAAGCUCCCCAACCACCCCACGCCCUCCCCCGCCCCAGCAACCACCAGUCUAUUCUCCAAGUCCAUGUUUUCUUUUCUGUGGAAAGGUUCAUUUGUGCCAUAUAUUAGAUUCCAGACAUAAGUGAUAUCAUAUGGUAUUUGUCUUUCUCUUUCCGACUGGCUUCACUCAGGAUGAGAGUCUCUAGUUCCAUCCAUGUUGCUGCAAGUGGCAUUAUUUCGUUCUUUUUUUAUAGCUGAGUAGUAUUCCAUUGUGUGUAUAUACCACAUCUUCCCAAUCCAGUCAUCUGUCGGUGGACAUUUGGGUUGUUUCCAUGUCUUGGCUAUCGUGAAUAGAGCUGCAAUGAACAUGCAGGUGCAUGUGUCUUUUUUAAGGAAAGUUUUGUCCGGAUAUAUGCCCAAGAGUGGGAUUGCUGGGUCAUAUGGUAGUUCUAUGUAUAGGUUUCUAAGGUUAUCUCCAAACUGUUCUCCAUUGUGGUUGUACCAGUUUACAUUCCCACCGACAGUGCAGGAGGGUUCCCUUUUCUCCACAACCCCCUCCAGCACUUGUUAUUUGUGGACUUAUGAAUGAUGACCAUUCUGACUGGUGUGAGGUGGUAUUUCAUGGUAGUUUUGAUUUGCAUUUCUCUAAUCAGGGAUGUUGAGCAUUUUUUCAUGUGCUUGCUGGCCAUCUGUACAUCUUCUUUGGAGAAAUGUCUAUUCAGGUCUUUUGCCCAUUUUUCCAUUGGGUUGUGGCUUUGUUGCUGUUGAGUUGCAUAAGUUGCUUGUAUAUUCUAGAGAUUAAGCCCCUGUCAGUUGCAUCAUUUGAAACUAUUUUCUCCCAUCCUGUAAGUUGUCUUUUUUGUUUUCUUUUUGGUUUCCUUCGCUAUGCAAAUGCUUGUCAGUUUGAUUAGGUCCCACUGAUUUAUUUUUGCUCUUUUUUUCUGUUGCUUUGGGAGACUCACCUGAGAAAAUAUUCGUAACGUUGAUGUCAGAGAAUGUUUUGCCUGGGUUCUCUUGCAGGAGUUUGAUGGUAUUUUGUCUAAUAUUUAGGUCUUUCAGCCAUUUUGAGUUUAUUUUUGUGCGUGGUGUGAGGGUGUGUUCUAGUUUCAUUGAUUUACAUGCAGCUGUCCAGGUUUCCCAGCAACGCUUGCUGAGAAGACUGUCUUUUUCCCAUUUUGUGGUCUUGCCUCCUUUGUCGGAGAUUAAUUGACCAUAGGUGUCUGGGUUUAUUUCUGGGUUCUCUAUUCUGUUCCAUUGGUCUGUAUGUCUGUUUUGGUACCAGGACCACGCUGUCUUGAUGACUGCGGCUUUGUAAUAUUGCUUGAGGUCUGGGAGAGGGUUAUGCCCCCUGCUUGGUUUUUGUUUCUCAGGAUUGCUUUGGCAAUCCUGGGUCUUUUGUAGUUCCAUAUAAAUUUUUGGAUUGUUCUGGUUCUGUGAAAAAUGUCAUGGGUAAUUUGAUGGGGAUUGCAUUGAAUCUGUAGUUUGCCUUGGGUAGUAUGGCCAUUUUUACAAUAUUAAUUUUUCCAACCGAGGAACAUGGAAUACCUUUCCAUUUCUUUACGUCUUCUUUAAUUUCCUUGAUUGAUGUUUUAUAGUUCUCGGCAUAUAGGUCCUUUGCCUCCUUGGUCAGGUGUAUUCCCAGGUAUUUGAUUUUUUUGGGGUGCAAUUUUAAAAGGUAUUGUGUUUUUGUAUUCCUUUUCUAAAGCUUCAUCGUCAGUAUACAGAAAUGUGACUGAUUUCUGAAUGUUAAUCUUAUAUCCUGCUACUUUGCUGAUUUUUUUGAUCAGUUCAAGGAGUUUUUGGGUUGAGUCCUUAGGGUUUUCUACACAUAGUAUCCUGUCAUCUGCAUACAGUGACAGUUAUCUCUUCUCUUCCUAUUUGGAUGCCUUUUAUUUCUUUGGUUUGUCUGACUGCAGUGGCUAGGACUGCCAAUACUAUGUUGAAUAGCGGUGGUGACAGCGGGCAUCCCUGUCUUGUUCCAGAUUUUAGUGGAAAGGCUUUCAGCUUUUCUCCAUUGAGUAUUGUGUUUGUUGUGGGUUUGUCAUAAAUGGCUUUGGUUAUGUUAAGGAAUGUUCCCUCUUAUACCCACUUUGGUAAGAGUUUUUAUCAUGAAUGGCUGUUGGACUUUGUCCAAUGCUUUUUCUGCAUCUAUUGAGAUGCUCGUGUGGUUUUUGACUUUUCUUUUAUUAAUGUGGUGGAUGACGUUGAUUGAUUGGUGAAUGUUGAACCAUCCUUGUGCACCCGGGAUGAAUCCCACCUGGUCGUGGUGUAUGAUCUUUUUCAUAUGUUGUUGGAUUCGAUGGGCUAAAAUUUUGUUGAGAAUUUUUGCAUCUAUAUUCGUCAAAGAUAUUGGCCUAUAGUUUUCUUUUUUGGUGGCAUCUUUGUCUGGUUUUGGAAUUAGGGUGAUGGUGGCAUCAUAGAAUGUCUCUGGGAGUGUUCCUUCUUCUUCAACCUUUUGGAAAAGUUUAAGGAGGAUGGGUAUAAGUUCCUCUUUGUAUGUUUGGUAGAAUUCGCCUGUAAAGCUAUCUGGUCCUGGACUUUUAUUUGUGGGGAAUGUUUUUAUGACACAUUAACUUUCACUUCUAGUGAUCAUUCUGUUCAGUUAUCUAUUUCUUCUUGUUUCAGUUUUGGCAGGCUGUAAGUCUCUAGAAAGUUGUCCGUUUAUUCCAGGUUGUCAAAUUUGUUGGCAUACAAUUGUUCAUAGUAUUCUCUCAGAGUUUUUUGUAUAUCAGUAUUACCUGUUGUGACUUCUUUUUCAUUUCUGAUGUUAUUUGGGUUUUUUCUCUUCUUGAUGAGUCUAGCCAGAGUUUGGCAAUUUUGUUUAUCUUUUCAAAGAAACAGCUCUUGGUUUUAUUGAUUUCUUCAAUUGUUUUUUUAAUCUCUAUUUUAUUGAUUUCCUCUUUGACCUUUAUGAUUUCCUUCCUUCUGCUAACUUUAGGUUUUGUUUGUUCUUUUUCUUUUUUUCUUUGUUUUGUCUUUUUGCCAUUUCUUGGGCAGCUCCUGUAGCAUAUGGAGGUUCCCAGGCUAGGGGUCUAAUUGGAGCUGUAGCCACCAGCCUAUGCCAGAGCCACAGCAAUGUGGGAUCCGAGCUGCAUCUGCAACCUACACCACAGCUCACGGCAACGCCAGAUCCUUUAACCCACUGAGCAAGGGCAGGGUCUGAACCUGCAACCUCAUGGUUCUUAGUCGGAUUCGUUAACCACUGCGCCACGACGGGAACUCCUGUUCUUCUUUUUCUAAUUAAUUUAGGUGUUGGGUUAUGCUGUCGAUUUGAGAUUUUUCUUCUUUUUUGAGGAAGGCCUGUAUUGCUAUGAAUUUCCCUCUGAGCACUGCUUUUGCAGCAUCCCAUAGAUUUUGAAUGCAUGUGUCUGCAUUGUCAUUUGUCUCGAGGUGUUUUUUAAUUUCCUUCUUGAUUUCCUCAUUGACCCAUUGGUUCUUCAGUAACAUGUUAUUUAGUCUGCAUGUAGUAAGUUCUUUCUCAUUUCUUUUCCUGUGGUUGAUGGCAUACUUUAUGAGGUUAACAUUAUCCUGAUGCUAAAGCCAGAUAGAGACAUUACAAGAAAAAACAAUGUUACCAAUAUUUCUCCUGAACAUAGCUACAACCAUCCUUAUAUAUUUUUGCAAAUUAAAUCUAAAAAUGUUUUGAAAAGAAAGUACAUCAUGGCCAAGAAGAGUUUAAUUCAAGAAUGCAAGUUUUGUCCAAUAUACAAAAAAGAAGUUGGUAUAAGUCAUCAUAUCAGUAUCCUAAAAAUAAUAACCAUAAGAUCAUUUCUAUAGAUGCAGAAAAAUUAUUUGGCAAAAUUCCACAUCUGUUUAGAAUAAAUACUCAGCAACUAGGAAUAAAGAGUAGCUUCCUCAAAUUGUUAAAGGACAUCUAUAGAACAUCUACAGUGAGCAUAUUUAAUGGUGAAAGACUAUACAGUCUUGCUCUAAAAUUGAAAAAAUGUUAAAUAUGUCUGCUCUGCUCUUCCUAGUGAUCUUAGCCAGUGCAGUAGGGAAAACAAAAAAAGUGGAGGGAUGGAACAAAGUCAGGAAAGGAAAAUAAAAUUGUCUUUAUUUGCAGACAACAUGGUAUAUACAUGUUUGCAAAAGUAUUUUAAAAAAUCUACUAGACCUAAUUGAGUUUCACAAAAUAUCUAAAUGAGAUACACUGUAUAUACAGAUGGAAAUAUUCAGUAUUGAUUGUUAAGAUAACACUUUUCCUCAAAUUGAUCUAUAUGUUCAAUCCAGUCAUCAACAGACAUUUAUGUGGAAUUUGACAAGCUGAUUCAAAUCUUAUAUGGAAAUGCAGAAGACCUAGAGAACAAAACACUCAAGAAGACUCACAUUACUUGAUUUCUCAGCUUAUUAUAAAGCUAGAGUAAUCAAGGAUGUGGUAUUGGCAUAAGAAUAGGUCAAUGGAUCAGUAUAGUCUAGACACAUAUGGACAAUAAAUUUUUUUAGCAGUUUAAGAAAUCUUUAUUUAACUGUUGAGUCUCCUUUUUCAUUUGUUCAUUUUUUAAUUCAUGCUCAGGAAGUUACUUCUGUAUCCUUAACAAAUCACAUCUCCUCCCUCUCUCCUACCCAGAAAUCCUCCUUCUUCCCUUAGAAUUUCUGAUGCUGGAGAGAUCUGAGAGUUCUCGGAAAAUGUUUAAAGUCACCAGCCAAGACUGGAGCAUGCAGGUGGUACUAAUAGGCGCUGGCUCCAGAUUUUGUUGAGAUGAUCAAGAGGAAGCCUAAUCCAAUGCCUCAUAUUGCUUUGGGAUUCCUUAUCGAAGGAGAUCCUUGGAGAGCUCCCAGAUGUGGCCGUCUGAAGAGUGUCACAUUGUCUACAGUUGUACCUGCCAGAGGUAGGCCAGGCCAUCUUUGGAGGGGCCAUGAACAUACUGUAAGGCUCUUAGGCUAUUCGCAAAGUGGUGUGUUACUUGCAGAUCGACUGGGAUAAGCUAAAGGUGAAUAGUACAAAUACUAGACAAACCACUAAAAUAGCAAGUUAUUUUAUAGCUAAUAAUCCAAAAAGAGGAUAAAAAGGAAUUACAACGAACAGUCCAAAAGAAGGCAGAAAAAAAAAAAAAAA
rnacentral:lncRNA from 1 species